rnacentral:rRNA from 1 species
GGCUCCUUGUUGAAAGCUGAAAUAUAAGGGGUCGGACCUGCCCGGUGACUAGUAUGUUAAACGGCCGCGGUACCCUAACCGUGCAAAGGUAGCAUAAUCAUUUGCCUUUUAAUUGGAGGCUUGUAUGAAUGGUUUGACGAGAGCUAAGCUGUCUCUUUUGAAAUAUUUAGAAAUUAACUUUUAGGUGAAGAGGCCUAAAUGUCGUUGAGGGACAAGAAGACCCUGUUGAGCUUUAGUGAUAUAUUAAGGUAAAAUAAAUAUGGUUGGGGCUUGAAGGAGUCUGAAUUGAUAUUUUUAGUUGUAUUUAUAUAAUAUUUUUUGAUAGUAAUCUUUAGUUGGGGCGACUGAGGAACAUUUAUAGCUUCCUUUGAAAUUGAAAAUAAGCAUGUAUUUAUUUACUAGAAAAAUGUGUGUGCAGAUUAGAAUUGAUCCAGUAGAAUAAUAUUGAUUAAAGGAAGAAGUUACCACAGGGAUAACAGCGUAAUCUUUCUGGAGAGAUCUUAUCGAAAGAAGGGUUUGCGACCUCGAUGUUGGACUAAGAUAUCCUGAGGGUGUAGAAGUUCUCGAUGGUUGGUCUGUUCGACCAUUAAAAUCUU